UGCUCACUCACUGGCUAAUCGGAGAGAUAACGAUUAUAACGCCCUGUAAAAAACGACGUGUCUAUAUAAGAGGAGCCGGCCCUUCCCGGUCAGACGUUACUCGUAUUCUCAUACGUGACACGAACCAAUACAGCGCUGCAAAUCUGAUCCUACUGUCACAGCAUCGAGAUGAAGUUCCAAUUAGCAAUUUUCUUCGUACUUCUGGCAACAAUGUCAGUGUCGCCCAAGCCAAAGGUUCCCCCUCUGGGAGCUGUCUUCCGAGGACUUUCGGUUAUCGAUGAUGCUAAUGCAGGCGACACUUCUACAACAACCUCAAUAGACCCAACAACAUCUACUUCCGAGGCAUCCACAGCAUCUUCUUCUGUGACAUCCACGGCCUCCACCGAGCCACCCACGGGUCCCACCGAGCCACCCACGGGUCCCACCGAGCCACCCACGGGUCCCACCGAGCCACCCACGGGUCCCACCGAGCCACCCAAGGGUCCCACCGAGCCACCCACGGGUCCCACCGAGCCACCCACGGGUCCCACCGAGCCACCCACGGGUCCCACCGAGCCACCCCCUGGGUCCCACCGAGCCAUCCACGGCCCCCACCGGGACAGGCACGGCUCCCACCGGCACCACAACGACACCCUUUGUUAGUAGUACAACAGAAGCACCUGGAGGCCUCGAUGGCGGAGCAAUUGCCGGCAUUGUUAUUGGCACACUGGCUGGAGUCGGUCUCAUAGGAUUCGGCAUCUACUACAUGAAGAAGAAGGGGAUGGCCUGUUUCGGUUAAGCUCUCUCUGGCAUCGCUCAUGCAGUCACGAGAAGAUGGCGGACGGAGAUAACGUAUCAAAAUCAACACCAUUAGGACACGUAUUGAAAUUCCGUUCAAACCCACUUAAAUUAACACUGAGGAACGCAGAGUCCUAGUUCACAACAAGAUCCAGAUGCAACUCUAUAUAAUAUAUAU